GAUGAACGCUGGCGGCGUGCUUAACACAUGCAAGUCGAACGAUGAAGCCCAGCUUGCUGGGUGGAUUAGUGGCGAACGGGUGAGUAACACGUGAGUAACCUGCCCUUAACUCUGGGAUAAGCCUGGGAAACUGGGUCUAAUACCGGAUAGGAGCGUCCACCGCAUGGUGGGUGCUGGAAAGAUUUAUCGGUUUUGGAUGGACUCGCGGCCUAUCAGCUUGUUGGUGAGGUAAUGGCUCACCAAGGCGACGACGGGUAGCCGGCCUGAGAGGGUGACCGGCCCCACUGGGACUGAGACGCGGCCCAGACUCCUACGGGAGGCAGCGGUGGAGAAUAUUGCCCAAUGGGCGCAAGCCUGAUGCAGCGACGCCGCGUGGGGGAUGACGGCAUUCGGGUUGUAAACCUCUUUCAGUAGGGAAGAAGCGAAAGUGACGGUACCUGCAGAAGAAACACCGGCGAACUACGU
rnacentral:rRNA from 1 species